rnacentral:rRNA from 1 species
AGAAUCAACGCUGGCGGCGUGCCUCAGACAUGCAAGUCGAACGCGAAAGUCCCCUUCGGGGGACAAGUAGAGUGGCGCACGGGUGAGUAACACGUAGGUAAUCUACCUUCAGAUGGGGAAUAACAACCGGAAACGGUUGCUAAUACCGCAUAAUGCAGCGGCACCUAAUGGUGACAGUUGUUAAAGCGGGGGAUCGAAAGACCUCGCGUCUGAAGAGGAGCCUGCGGCGGAUUAGCUAGUUGGUAGGUAACGGCUACCAGGCGACGAUCCGUA